rnacentral:rRNA from 1 species
UACAGAGGUCCCAAGCGUUGUUCGGAUUCACUGGGCGUAAAGGGUGCGUAGGUGGUGAGGUAAGUCGGAUGUGAAAGCUCGGAGCUCAACUCCGAAAUGGCAUUGGAAACUACCUUGCUAGAGGGUUGGAGGGGGGACUGGAAUACUUGGUGUAGCAGUGAAAUGCGUAGAUAUCAAGUGGAACACCAGUGGCGAAGGCGAGUCCCUGGACAACUCCUGACACUGAGGCACGAAAGCUAGGGGAGCAAACAGG